UACGUAGGGUGCAAGCGUUGUUCGGAAUUACUGGGCGUAAAGGGCGCGUAGGCGGUUUGCUAAGUCGGAUGUGAAAACUCUGGGCUCAACCCAGAGCCUGCAUCCGAAACUGGCAGGCUAGAGUUCUGGAGGGGGUAGCGGAAUUCCUGGUGUAGCGGUGAAAUGCGUAGAUAUCAGGAGGAACACCGGUGGCGAAGGCGGCUACCUGGACAGAAACUGACGCUGAGGCGCGAAAGCUAGGGGAGCAAACAGG
rnacentral:rRNA from 1 species